AAUGAUGCCAAACAUCCAAAUAGUAUUUGCUGUGAUGUUGAAACAUUUGUAGCAGACAUACUGAAAGGAGAAAAUUUAUCCAAGAAAGCAAAGGAAAAGAGAGAAUCCCUUAUUAAGAAGAUAAAAGAUGUAAAGUCUAUCUAUCUUCAGGAAUUUCGAGACAAAGGUGAUGCAGAAGAUGGGGAAGAAUAUGAUGACCCUUUUGCUGGGCCUCCAGACACUAUUUCAUUGGCCUCAGAACGAUAUGAUAAAGACGAUGAAGCCACCUCUGAUGGAGCCCAGUUUCCUCCAAUUGCAGCACAAGACCUUCCUUUUGUUCUAAAGGCUGGCUACCUUGAAAAACGCAGAAAAGAUCACAGCUUUCUGGGAUUUGAAUGGCAGAAACGGUGGUGUGCUCUCAGUAAAACAGUAUUCUAUUAUUAUGGAAGUGAUAAAGACAAACAACAGAAAGGUGAAUUUGCAAUAGAUGGCUACAGUGUCAGAAUGAAUAACGCUCUAAGAAAGGAUGGAAAGAAAGAUUGCUGUUUUGAAAUUUCUGCUCCUGAUAAACGUAU
rnacentral:sRNA from 1 species